CCUACGGGAGGCAGCAGUGAGGAAUAUUGGUCAAUGGGCGCGAGCCUGAACCAGCAAAGUAGCAUGAAGGAUGACUGCCCUACGGGUUGUAAACUUCUUUUAUAAGGGAAUAAAGUGAGGCACGUGUGCCGUUUUGUAUGUACUUUAUGAAUGAGGAUCGGCUAACUCCGUGCCAGCAGCCGCGGUAAUACGGAGGAUCCGAGGGUUAUCCGGAUUUAUUGGGUUUAAAGGGUGCGUAGGCGGAAUAUCAAGUCAGCGGUAAAAAUUCGGGGCUCAACCGUAAAAUUGCAAUUGAUACUGGCAGCCUUGAGUACAGUUGAGGUAGGCGGAAUUCGUGGUGUAGCGGUGAAAUGCUUAGAUAUCACGAAGAACUCCGAUUGCGAAGGCAGCCUACUAAACUGCCACUGACAUUGAUGCUCGAAAGUGUGGGUAUCAAACAGGAUUAGAUACCCCAGUAGUC
rnacentral:rRNA from 1 species